rnacentral:rRNA from 1 species
AUUGAACGCUGGCGGCAGGCCUAACACAUGCAAGUCGAGCGGAUGAAGGGAGCUAGCUCCUGGAUUCAGCGGCGGACGGGUGAGUAAUGCCUAGGAAUCUGCCUGGUAGUGGGGGAUAACGUCCGGAAACGGGCGCUAAUACCGCAUACGUCCUGAGGGAGAAAGUGGGGGAUCUUCGGACCUCACGCUAUCAGAUGAGCCUAGGUCGGAUUAGCUAGUUGGUGGGGUAAAGGCCUACCAAGGCGACGAUCCGUAACUGGUCUGAGAGGAUGAUCAGUCACACUGGAACUGAGAAACGGUCCAGAGUCCUACGUGAGGCAGCAGUGGGGAAUAUUGGACAAUGGGCCAAAGCCUGAUCCAGCCAUGCCGCGCUUGUGAAGAAGGUGUUCGGAUUGUGAAGCACUCUAAGUUGGGAGGAAGGGAAGUAAGUUAAUACCUUGCUGUUUUGACGUUACCUACAGAAUAAGCACCGGCUAACUUCGUG